rnacentral:rRNA from 1 species
UCUGGGAUAACCCCGAGAAAUCGGAGCUAAUACCGGAUAGGACCUGGAACCGCAUGGUUUUGGGUGGAAAGUUUUUCGGUCUGGGAUGGACUCGCGGCCUAUCAGCUUGUUGGUGAGGUAAUGGCUCACCAAGGCGUCGACGGGUAGCCGGCCUGAGAGGGUGACCGGCCACACUGGGACUGAGACACGGCCCAGACUCCUACGGGAGGCAGCAGUGGGGAAUAUUGCACAAUGGGCGCAAGCCUGAUGCAGCAACGCCGCGUGCGGGAUGACGGCCUUCGGGUUGUAAACCGCUUUUAGUAAGGAAGAAGGGAAGCGCAAGCUUUUUGACGGUACUUGCAGAAAAAGGACCGGCUAACUACGUGCCAGCAGCCGCGGUAAUACGUAGGGUCCGAGCGUUGUCCGGAAUUAUUGGGCGUAAAGAGCUCGUAGGCGGUUUGUCGCGUCUGCUGUGAAAUCCCGAGGCUCAACCUCGGGUCUGCAGUGGGUACGGGCAGACUGGAGUGCGGUAGGGGAGAAUGGAAUUCCUGGUGUAGCGGUGGAAUGCGCAGAUAUCAGGAGGAACACCGAUGGCGAAGGCAGUUCUCUGGGCCGUAACUGACGCUGAGGAGCGAAAGCGUGGGGAGCGAACAGGAUUAGAUACCCUGGUAGUCCACGCCGUAAACGUUGGGCGCUAGAUGUGGGGACCUUUCCACGGUUUCCGUGUCGUAGCUAACGCAUUAAGCGCCCCGCCUGG